rnacentral:rRNA from 1 species
GACGAACGCUGGCGGCGUGCUUAACACAUGCAAGUCGAGCGGUAAGGCCCUUCGGGUACACGAGCGCGAACGGGUGAGUAACACGUGGGUGACCUGCCUCUAGCUCUGGGAUAAGCCUGGGAAACUGGGUCUAAUACCGGAUAUGACUCCACGGCGCAUGUUGUGGGGUGGAAAGCCUUGUGUGGCCAGAGAUGGGCCCGCGGCCUAUCAGCUUGUUGGUGGGUGAUGGCCUACCAAGGCGACGACGGGUAGCCGGCCUGAGAGGGCGACCGGCCACACUGGGACUGAGACACGGCCCAGACUCCUACGGGAGGCAGCAGUGGGAAUCUUGCGCAAUGGGCGAAAGCCUGACGCAGCG